rnacentral:rRNA from 1 species
CCUACGGGAGGCAGCAGUGAGGAAUAUUGGUCAAUGGGCGGGAGCCUGAACCAGCCAAGUCGCGUGAGGGAAGACGGUCCUAUGGAUUGUAAACCUCUUUAGGCGGGGAGCAAUGCCGGGCACGCGUGCCCGGAGGGAGAGUACCCGCAGAAUAAGCAUCGCCUCACUCCGUGCCGGCAGCCGCGGUAAUACGGAGGAUGCGAUCGUUAUCCGGAUUUAUUGGGUUUAAAGGGUGCGUAGGCGGAUUUUUAAGUCAGCGGUAAAAUGUCCGGGCUCAACCCGGGCCGGCCGUUGAAACUGGGGAUCUUGAGUGGGCGAGAAGUAUGCGGAAUGCGUGGUGUAGCGGUGACAUGCAUAGAUAUCACGCAGAACUCCGAUUGCGAAGGCAGCAUACCGGCGCCCGACUGACGCUGAGGCACGAAAGCGUGGGGAUCGAACAGGAUUAGAUACCCUAGUAGUC